GUGAAGCCUGGCUGCACCUCUCCUAGACCCCAUUUAAGGGCUGACUGCUAACAGGGAAGGUUCUGUCUUUGCAGAUUCCUCUUCUGUGGAGCCUUUUCUGCAAACCUAGAUCUUUGGAUAGAGUUUGCUCCACUAUAGGGUCUGCUGGGUCUGGGUCUGCUCUUCAGCUUGCUUUUCUGCUUCAUGAGCUACAUCCCUACAUUCUUGAGCUGUGUGUAAACGUGGAAUGGAAGUGUCUGAAGGCUCAAGAUGGAUAGUGCAGGAAGCUGCAUAGUAUAUGAGAUCUCAAAGUUUGCAAAAGAAGGUCAUGACAACAUCAAAGAUAUUUGGAGAUUAUUCAAAUGUCAUCGAAUGCAAGAUUUGUCACCUUUAUGUUCUACAAAGUGACUUCUGAAGUACUGUAGAGGAUUGCAUGUAUGAGAAUUGCCUUGUGAAUAAAAUAAUACGGCAGACAAAAAACCCUCACAAAAAUACUGCAAAUAAUUUAUGUAAAGUUGUUACUUACAGACUUUAUGUAGUUUUUUUUAUAUGGCAUAGAAUUCUUGAUUAAAUAUUGUUACUUUCUAAGAUAUUAAGCUCUUGAAAUAUAAAUUAAAAUAGUCUUUCCCCAUGUUGGACACACUUGGUUCCAGCUGACCCCACCUUAGGGCAUGGCUGGGCCUUGUAGCCAAGAUGGAAGCGCCUUUGGAAAAAUGCAUUUAAGAAAGGGUAAAAAUGCUUCACAGACAGGGAAGAAGGGAAGAGAAAGUGAGAAACAGAGGAAGCAACAAGGUCAUAGAAGAAGGGAGAACAUAUUGUUUUAAUAUUUUUAUUUGUUUCUAAUACCCUAAUCUUGUCAAUAAAUUUUGUCCAAAUUCAGACAGUUUUAUCCACAAAAGUAACUCGUAAACUCUCCAUGUCUUCUCUUAAACAAUGUGAGUUUAAUGCUAUUUUCUCCCCACUGUUCUGCUGAUAAUAAGAAGUGGGUGAGCAGCUGGGUGGGCUAAGCUAUUGUCAGUGUCAGUGUUUCUAGAUACCAAGUAGGGUAAGGAGAAGUUAACUUCACCUGAGAUUAUGUAUUAUGUAAUAGAUGUAAAGCCUGACUUUACAUAGUCUUCCCAUACAGUCAAAAAAAAAAAAAAAGAAA